AUUGAACGCUAGCGGCAUGCUUAACACAUGCAAGUCGAACGGUAACAGUACUAGCUUGCUAGUAGCUGACGAGUGGCGGACGGGUGAGUAACGCGUAGGAAUUUACCUUGUAGCGGGGGACAACUCGGGGAAACUCGGGCUAAUACCCCAUAAUCUCUACGGAGCAAAGAGGGCCUCUAUUUAUAUGCUUUCGCUAUUAGAUGGGCCCGCGUCGGAUUAGCUUGUUGGUAGGGUAAUGGCCUACCAAGGCGACGAUCCGUAGCUGGUCUGAGAGGACGAUCAGCCACACUGGGACUGAGACACGGCCCAGACUCCUACGGGAGGCAGCAGUGGGGAAUAUUGGACAAUGGGCGCAAGCCUGAUCCAGCAAUGCCGCGUGUGUGAAGAAGGCCUUCGGGUUGUAAAGCACUUUCAGUGGGGAAGAAAGGUUUACGGUUAAUACCCGUAAGCUUUGACGUUGCCCACAGAAGAAGCACUGGCUAACUCUGUGCCAGCAGCCGCGGUAAUACAGAGAGUGCGAGCGUUAAUCGGAAUUACUGGGCGUAAGGCGCACGUAGGUAGAUAUUUAAGUCGAAUGUGAAAGCCCUGGGCUUAACCUAGGAAUUGCAUCCGAUACUGGGUAACUAGAGUAUGGUAGAGGGAAGUGGAAUUUCCGGUGUAGCGGUGAAAUGCGUAGAUAUCGGAAGGAACACUAGUGGCGAAGGCGACUUCCUGGACCAAUACUGACACUGAGGUGCGAAAGCGUGGGGAGCAAGCAGGAUUAGAUACCCUGGUAGUCCACGCUGUCAACGAUGAGAACUAGACGUUGGAGGGGUAACCCGUCAGUGUCGAAGCUAACGCGUUAAGUUCUCCGCCUGGGGAGUACGGCCGCAAGGUUAAAACUCAAGGGAAUUGACGGGGGCCCGCACAAGCGGUGGAGCAUGUGGUUUAAUUCGAUGCAACGCGAAGAACCUUACCUACUCUUGACAUCCUCGGAAUCCUCUGGAGACAGAGGAGUGCCUUCGGGAAUCGAGUGACAGGUGCUGCAUGGCUGUCGUCGGCUCGUGUCGUGAGAUGUUGGGUUAAGUCCCGUAACGAGCGCAACCCUUACCCUUAGUUACCAGCGGUUCGGCCGGGAACUCUAAGGGGACUGCCGGUGAUAAACCGGAGGAAGGUGGGGACGACGUCAAGUCAUCAUGGCCCUUACGAGUAGGGCAACACACGUGCUACAAUGGACAGUACAGAGGGUCGCCAAACCGCGAGGUGGAGCUAAUCUCAGAAAGCUGUUCGUAGUCCGGAUUGGAGUCUGCAACUCGACUCCAUGAAGUUGGAAUCGCUAGUAAUCGCGAAUCAGAAUGUCGCGGUGAAUACGUUCCCGGGCCUUGUACACACCGCCCGUCACACCAUGGGAGUGGGUUGUACCAGAAGCGGGUAGGAUAACCUUUCGAGGAGUCCGCUCACCACGGUAUGAUUCAUGACUGGGGUA
rnacentral:rRNA from 1 species